CUCCGGUUGAUCCUGCCGGACCCGACUGCUAUCAGAGUGGGACUAAGCCAUGCGAGUCGACGUAGCAAUGCGUGGCGAACGGCUCAGUAACACGUAGUCAACAUGCCCAGGGGACGUGGAUAACCUCGGGAAACUGAGAAUAAACCACGAUAGGUCACGAUUUCUGGAAUGGAUCAUGGCCUAAAUCUACAUGGCCCCUGGAUUGGACUGCGGCCGAUCAGGCUGUUGGUGAGGUAAUGGCCCACCAAACCUAUAACCGGUACGGGCUCUGAGAGGAGAAGCCCGGAGAUGGGCACUGAGACAAGGGCCCAGGCCCUAUGGGGCGCAGCAGGCGCGAAACCUCUGCAAUAGGCGAAAGCCUGACAGGGUUACUCUGAGUGAUUUCCGCUAAGGGGAUCUUUUGGCACCUCUAAAAAUGGUGCAGAAUAAGGGGUGGGCAAGUCUGGUGUCAGCCGCCGCGGUAAUACCAGCACCCCGAGUGGUCGGGACGAUUAUUGGGCCUAAAGCAUCCGUAGCCGGUUCUGCAAGUCUUCCGUUAAAUCCAGCCGCUCAACGGAUGGGCCGCGGAGGAUACUACAGGACUAGGAGGCGGGAGAGGCAAGCGGUACUCAGUGGGUAGGGGUAAAAUCCUUUGAUCCAUUGAAGACCACCAGUGGCGAAGGCGGCUUGCCAGAACGCGCUCGACGGUGAGGGAUGAAAGCUGGGGGAGCAAACCGGAUUAGAUACCCGGGUAGUCCCAGCUGUAAACGAUGCAGACUCGGUGAUGGGCUAGCCUUGUGCCAGCCCAGUGCCGCAGGGAAGCCGUUAAGUCUGCCGCCUGGGGCUGUACGGCCGCAAGACUGAAACUUAAAGGAAUUGGCGGGGGAGCA
rnacentral:rRNA from 1 species